UCGUUCUCCACCGCCGUAAUAAGAAACAACCUGUCAUCGUCGAUCCGACGCCCGCCUUCUCCUCCUCCUCUUCUUCUUCCUUCUCCUGUCUCUCGCUCUCAGGACCUCCAUUCUGUAGGGAAAUCUGACAGUCUUAGGGUUUUCGCUGUUUCUGGCUUUUCCAUGGAAGUUUCGUUGAGUUCAAUGCCACAAACAUUCAAGCUUUGCCGUUCUACCGACCUCAAUCGCCCCUGCCCCUGCCGCUGUUCUUGUUGUUCUUGCUAUUGUUCCUGAUUCGGAGAUUCUGUUGGGGUUUGGCUUUGCCAAAUUUCUCUAUCUUGGAUUGUGUUUGUUUACAGGAGGUGUAAUCUUUUGGGGACUGGAAUUCGUUUGAUAGGCUUAAGACUUUGAUAUUUGUGGCUUUGUUCGUAGUUAAUGGAUUUGUCUAAUUCCAAUUCCAAUCUUUCUCUCGGAAUCUCAUCGCAUGCUUCGCCACCGCACCGCGUUCAGAUUGCUGAUGAUUCCAUUCUGCUUCAUCUCGAAUCUUCUCGACAGGAACCCACGUUUUCGUCCCCCCCAAUCCCUCUUCAGUUGAUGGAACCGCUGACGGAGAGUCACAGAGACGAGGUUGGAGGUGCGGAGAGAGAAGACGACAGGGAUGUAGAAGAGUUUCAUAUUCUGGGCCAUUCUAUGUGCUUGAAGCGCCGAAGAGAUAGUGAAUCUUCGUUCUCGUCGAGUUCUGCAAAGAGAAAUUCGUGUGAACGUGAUUUAGAGACACGAAGAAGUGCUGUACGGUCGUGGGGUAACCAGACCCUUCGAGCCGCGGACCCUAACCUAUUUGGAAUUAUGGAGAAGGAGAAACAGAGGCAAAUCAAGGGCAUUGAAUUGAUUGCUUCUGAGAAUUAUGUGUGUCGUGCAGUAAUGGAAGCACUUGGAAGCCACUUGACUAAUAAGUACUCCGAAGGUAUGCCCGGUGCGAGGUAUUACUGUGGAAAUCAAUAUAUAGAUGAGAUUGAAACGCUAUGUCGUGAGCGCGCAUUGGCAGCGUUUGGUCUUGAUUCUGAUAGUUGGGGAGUUAACGUGCAACCUUAUUCAUGCACAUCCGCGAACUUUGCUGUCUACACUGGUCUGCUACUCCCGGGUGAUCGAAUCAUGGGGUUGGAUACUCCUUCGGGUGGUAACACUAGUCAUGGCUACUGUACCCCGAAUGGAAGAAAAGUUUCUGGGGCCUCAAUUUUCUUCGAGAGUUUUCCAUAUAAGGUUAAUCCGCAAACUGGGUAUAUCGAUUAUGAUAAGCUUGAGGAGAGGGCGCUUGACUUUCGCCCAAAAAUACUUAUUUGUGGGGGGAGCUCGUAUCCUCGUGAAUUGGAUUAUAGAAGGUUUAGGCAGAUUGCAGAUAAGUGUGGAGCAGUUCUGAUGUGUGAUAUGGCUCAAAUCAGUGGCCUUGUUGCUGCUAAGGAAUGUGUCAGCCCUUUUGGGUACUGUGAUGUUGUGACUUCCACUACUCAUAAGAGCCUUCGAGGUCCAAGGGGAGGUAUAAUUUUUUAUAGGAAGGGUAGUAGGCCAAGGACGAUAGCAAUGCUUCUGUAUCAGGGAAAUGAAUCUAACCAAUAUGACUUUGAGGAGAAGAUAAACUUCGCUGUUUUUCCAUCCUUACAAGGUGGACCACACAAUAACCAUAUUGCUGCGCUUGCUGUGGCUCUAAAACAAGUGGCUACUCUGGAGUACAAAGCAUACAUGCAGCAGGUGAAAAAAAAUGCUCAAGCCUUAGCUUCUGCUCUACUCCGAAAGAACUACAAGCUUGUAACUGGUGGCACAGAUAAUCACAUGGUACUCUGGGAUCUAAGGUCCUUGGGAUUGACAGGUAAAAACUUUGAGCAAGUUUGUGAGAUGUGCCACAUUACUCUCAACAAAAUUACAAUAUUUGGUGAUAAUGGAAUUAUUACUCCUGGAGGAGUAAGGAUCGGCACCCCAGCUAUGACAUCAAGAGGCUGUCUGGAAUCUGAUUUUGAAGUAAUUGUAGAAUUUCUUCAUAUAGCCGCUCAAAUUGCAGUUGUUGUUCAGCGAGAGCAUGGGAAGUUGCCGAAACCUUUUCUUAGGGGCCUUCAAAGUAGUAAUGAAGUUGUUGAGCUCGGAUACCGUGUUGCAAGUUUUUCAGCUAAAUUUGCAAUGCCUGGUCUUGAAACUUGAAUGGUAGUUGGAUUUGCAUUUUGAAAUGGGUGACCAUUUGUUGUCCCUAAAAAAAAAAAAAAAAAGAUCUGCUGCUCAUCAUGCCUUCCAUAUAAAAUCUUGAAGCUUCUCCCUCUCUUGGGGCUGCUGUUUAUUCAGAUGCCUGCAUUUACUUAUCAUCUUAUUGUUUUGAGAAGGGCCUUUCCAAUCAUCAGAAGAGAAUUUAGUAAUGCCGAUCUUUUCUUCUACAAGGCCGAAUGUGUACAAUGGAUGGAGGCGUCAUGAGCAGUUUUUUGGUGGUGUCAUUUCUGGGAUCCAAUCAACUGAAGAAACUGGUGGCUAGGAGGGAAUAUAAUUUAAAAAAAUAUAGUACUCUAUCAGAGACCGGGAAGAAUGCUUUGGACCUGAUUGUUUAUGGCCACGGCUGAGGAAUCAUUUUGCCAGCUUGAUGUGUGAUGAUGUGGUAGGAAGUACGCACAAUGCUGGUCAAUUUCCUUUGAUCAGAGUUCCAUUGUGAACAUGGUUGCCAAAGUAAGCAUAGUUCAACAGUAAUCAACAUGUAUUCUCCUACUGUUGUUGUACUGGAGAAAGGUGUAUUUUAUCAGUAUUAUUGAAAAAUUCUAACUUCUUUUAUAUAUAUCUCGAACAUUGCAUUGGAAUUUUUUUUAUGGUAAAGUUAUAAAAUCAUAUGAACAUUAUAU